rnacentral:misc_RNA from 1 species
GAUGAAGAACGUAGCGAAAUGCGAUAGGUAAUGCGAAUUGCAGAAUUCCAGUGAGUCAUCGAAUCUUUGAACGCACAUUGCGCCCUUUGGUAUUCCGAAGGGCAUGCCUGUUCGAGCGUCAUUAUCACCCCUCAAGCCCUCGGCUUGGUGUUGGACGGUUUGGUGGAGGCCCCCUCGGGGGCUCCUGCCCCUCCCAAAGACAAUGACGGCGGCCUCGUUGGACCCCCGGUACACUGAGUUCUUCACGGGACACGUAUCGGACACAUGGGUUUACGGGACACGGUCUGCCUCCCCUCAGGGAGAAUCUUUCUAAGGUUGACCUAGGAUCAGGUAGGGAUACCCGCUGAACUUAAGCAUAUCAAUAAGCGGAGGA